CACGUAGGGCGCAAGCGUUGUCCGGAAUUAUUGGGCGUAAAGAGCUCGUAGGCGGACUGUCACGUCUGCUGUGAAAAGCUAGGGCUUAACCCUGGCCUUGCAGUGGAUACGGGCAGACUAGAGGUAGGUAGGGGAGAAUGGAAUUCCCGGUGUAGCGGUGAAAUGCGCAGAUAUCGGGAGGAACACCGGUGGCGAAGGCGGGUCUCUGGGCCGUACCUGACGCUGAGGAGCGAAAGCGUGGGGAGCGAACAGG
rnacentral:rRNA from 1 species